UGGGGGAAUAUUGCACAAUGGGCGCAAGCCUGAUGCAGCAACGCCGCGUGAAGGAAGACGGUCUUCGGAUUGUAAACUUCUGUUCUUAGUGAAGAAAAAUGACGAUAGCUAAGGAGCAAGCACCGGCUAACUACGUGCCAGCAGCCGCGGUAAAACGUAGGGUGCAAGCGUUGUCCGGAAUUACUGGGUGUAAAGGGAGCGCAGGCGGACCGGCAAGUUGGAAGUGAAAACUAUGGGCUCAACCCAUAAAUUGCUUUCAAAACUGCUGGCCUUGAGUAGUGCAGAGGUAGGUGGAAUUCCCGGUGUAGCGGUGGAAUGCGUAGAUAUCGGGAGGAACACCAGUGGCGAAGGCGACCUACUGGCACCAACUGACGCUGAGGCUCGAAAGCAUGGGUAGCAAACAGGAUUAGAUACCCUGGUAGU
rnacentral:rRNA from 1 species